rnacentral:rRNA from 1 species
CCAUGCAUGUCUCAGUACAAGCCAAAUUAAGGUGAAACCGCGAAAGGCUCAUUAAAUCAGUUAUGGUUCCUUAGAUCGUACCCACAAUUACUAGGAUAACUGUGGUAAUUCUAGAGCUAAUACAUGCAAACAGAGCUCCGACCGGAGACGGAAGGAGUGCUUUUAUUAGAUCAAAACCAAUCGGUGGCGGGUUCGCUCGUUAUCGUACAACUUGGUGACUCUGAAUAACUUUACGCUGAUCGCACGGUCAUCGCACCGGCGACGCAUCUUUCAAAUGUCUGCCUUAUCAACUGUCGAUGGUAGGUUCUGCGCCUACCAUGGUUGUAACGGGUAACGGGGAAUCAGGGUUCGAUUCCGGAGAGGGAGCCUGAGAAACGGCUACCACAUCCAAGGAAGGCAGCAGGCGCGCAAAUUACCCACUCCCGGCACGGGGAGGUAGUGACGAAAAAUAACGAUACGGGACUCAUCCGAGGCCCCGUAAUCGGAAUGAGUACACUCUAAACCCUUUAACGAGGAUCAAUUGGAGGGCAAGUCUGGUGCCAGCAGCCGCGG